CUGGCCCAGGGAAGCAGCUCCUCACCACUGUAACUUCUGGUUUGUAGCUGUGUAAACCGAGACAGGAUAUAGAUACAUCCUGUCUGAGUUAACAGCAAGAAAUAGGGCCUCACAGUGGGGUUCCUGCCAUAAAUCAGAACCCAUCUGAGAGUAAUCUAGAAUGGUAUGCAAGUCAGGGCUGCAUCCCCAUCAGCCCCGGAGGGAGGGAAGUGUCUGAAACAGGAACCCUGGAGAACUUUGAAGAGUGGGGGUGGAGUGAGCUGUCCUCUUCAGGCACUGAGGUUGCAGCCUGCACUUUCUCAGUGACUGUGCUGAAGUGAUCACAGUGGCUUCAGUCUUCUGUCUCCUUGACCCAGGCCCUGCACCCAGAAGUCACUCUGCACAGAACUCCCGGCUUGGUCAGAUCCAGAUGUCCCGCUGUCCUUAGUCACAUACUACACCAGAAGACACAUUUUCUUAUGGUCUCAAAUUUUGGCUGGACCUCAGGAACAUGCAACAAGCCUGUAAAAAUGUCUAUCUCAGUGAGCCCAGAGUCUGUUGGAGAAAUGACACAUAAGCACAUUGUCUUCAAAACAGGGACUAAGCUCAGGACCAUGUCCAGCUCCAAGAGGCUGCUUUACCAGAGACCACUUCCAGAAGACAGUGUUAGGAGUGCCCUUCUGCCAUAAAGAAGGUUAAACUUGAAUCAUUUGUAGGAAAAUGGAUGCACCUUGAGACCACAAUGUUAAGUGAGAUAAAUUAUACACACAAAUUUACAUAUCACAUGGUUUUGCUUAUAUGUGAAGCUUAAAAUAUAAAGAGCAAAAUAAAAGAUAGAUAGUAGGAAGUAGGGAGAUAGAUCUUUCUUGAAUGGGAAGGGGAUCAAGAGAUGCAGGAAGGGGUAGGAAUGGAAGGGAAAGGGUAUUGAAAAAGAAUUAAUUUGUGUUAGGUGCAUGUACCAACGCCACACAAGGAAUACAAACAUGUACUACAAACAUGUACUAAUAAAAAUAAAAGCUAUAAAGGACAUUUAUAUAUUAAUUAUUUUGCUAUUUCUAACAUAAUCUGGGCAUUAGGACUUAUACUUUAGGGCUGGG
ensembl:lncRNA